GAUGAACGCUGGCGGCGUGCUUAACACAUGCAAGUCGAACGGAAAGGCUCCUGCUUGCAGGGGUACUCGAGUGGCGAACGGGUGAGUAACACGUGGGUGAUCUGCCCUGCACUUCGGGAUAAGCCUGGGAAACUGGGUCUAAUACCGGAUAGGACGAUGGUUUGGAUGCCAUUGUGGAAAGUUUUUCAGUGUGGGAUGAGCUCGCGGCCUAUCAGCUUGUUGGUGGGGUAAUGGCCUACCAAGGCGUCGACGGGUAGCCGGCCUGAGAGGGUGUACGGCCACAUUGGGACUGAGAUACGGCCCAGACUCCUACGGGAGGCAGCAGUGGGGAAUAUUGCACAAUGGGCGCAAGCCUGAUGCAGCGACGCCGCGUGGGGGAUGACGGCCUUCGGGUUGUAAACUCCUUUCGCUAGGGACGAAGCGCAAGUGACGGUACCUGGAGAAGAAGCACCGGCUAACUACGUG
rnacentral:rRNA from 1 species